rnacentral:rRNA from 1 species
AUGAGUUUCUCUGGCGCUGUGCAAUGGUGGGAUGAGUGGCAGCUGCGCAUUCUGGUGCUGGGCAGCCUCUUCAUCCAGUACUUCCUCUUCUUCUCCUCCCUGGUGCGCAGGUGUGCUCUUCCAUCUUGGCUCAGACUGUUUAUGUGGCUUGCCUACCUAGGCGGGGAUGCUCUGGCCAUAUACGCCCUGGCCACCCUCUUCAACCGCCACAAGCAGCUGCCCGCCAAUGGGAGCGGCCUGCAGGUCCUGUGGACGCCUGUCCUCCUCAUCCACCUCAGGGGCCAGCACGCGAUGACCGCCUACAACAUCGAAGACAACGAGCUGUGGACUCGGCAUGCCAUAACCGCAGUGUCCCAGGUCACGGUCGCCCUCUACGUGUUCUGCACGUCGUGGUCCGGGGAGAAGAGGUUACUGCAGGCUGCAAUCUUGCUGUUCGUCGUUGGGAUUAUCAGGUCCAUCCAGAAGCCAUGGGCUCUGAAGAACGCCAGUAUCAGUGGCAUGGUCGCCUCUUCCUCCCCAUCCACGCGCGAACAAGGUCUGGUUGCACGUUGGUGCGGAGACUGCAUUUCCCGUCUUGGAUAUGAGUUUUCCAAAAGUGGAAGACAAGAAGAAGCAGUCGAAGAGAAGGACAUUCCGCUUGAAGAAUUUAUACAACAAGCAAGCAGGUGCGUGAUGCUGUCAGAGUUAGCAAGUGAUCAAGAGAAAGCGGGAAAACUAGCUGAUGACUCUAAGGAAAAUUAUGUCUACAGGCUACUGGUAGACAUAUCAACUCCGUACUCUAGUCGGAUUAAAAUCCUACGGCUUUUAAUGGCCCUUGAUUACCAACAUGCACAUAGGUUGUUGAACCGCGUACUCGCUUGGUCAUUUGGGUUCCUCUACACAAAACUGACGAUGAUACUCAGUGGCCUUGGCUUCUGUUUGCAUCUCUUGCUUCCAUUCCUGACCUUAGCUUCUGCCAUCCUCUUCUCCACAAGCCACAAAUAUCAUGACUACAACGCAACAGAUGUCAAGAUAACUUACAUCUUGUUCUUUUGUACCAUGCAUGUUGCUGGAUUUCCUAUUGCUCUUGCUUGGUCCUUGGAUCGGAGCCUUUGGAUAUAUCAAGGUUCCCCAAUAUAG